rnacentral:rRNA from 1 species
AGAGUUUGAUCCUGGCUCAGGACGAACGCUGGCGGCGUGCCUAAUACAUGCAAGUCGAGCGAAUCAUUAGGAGCUUGCUCCUGACGAUUAGCGGCGGACGGGUGAGUAACACGUGGGCAACCUGCCUGUAAGACUGGGAUAACACCGGGAAACCGGUGCUAAUACCGGAUAAUUCUUUUCCUCUCAUGAGGAAAAGCUGAAAGUCGGUUUCGGCUGACACUUACAGAUGGGCCCGCGGCGCAUUAGCUAGUUGGUGAGGUAACGGCUCACCAAGGCGACGAUGCGUAGCCGACCUGAGAGGGUGAUCGGCCACACUGGGACUGAGACACGGCCCAGACUCCUACGGGAGGCAGCAGUAGGGAAUCUUCCGCAAUGGACGAAAGUCUGACGGAGCAACGCCGCGUGAGUGAUGAAGGCCUUCGGGUCGUAAAACUCUGUUGUUAGGGAAGAACAAGUAUCGGAGUAACUGCCGGUACCUUGACGGUACCUAACCAGAAAGCCACGGCUAACUACGUGCCAGCAGCCGCGGUAAUACGUAGGUGGCAAGCGUUGUCCGGAAUUAUUGGGCGUAAAGCGCGCGCAGGCGGUCCUUUAAGUCUGAUGUGAAAGCCCACGGCUCAACCGUGGAGGGUCAUUGGAAACUGGGGGACUUGAGUGCAGAAGAGGAAAGCGGAAUUCCACGUGUAGCGGUGAAAUGCGUAGAGAUGUGGAGGAACACCAGUGGCGAAGGCGGCUUUCUGGUCUGUAACUGACGCUGAGGCGCGAAAGCGUGGGGAGCAAACAGGAUUAGAUACCCUGGUAGUCCACGCCGUAAACGAUGGGUACUAGGUGCUUCGGGGAGCGACC